AUUGAACGCUGGCGGCAGGCCUAACACAUGCAAGUCGAACGAGUGGCGGACGGGUGAGUAAUGUCUGGGAAAAUGCCUGAUGGAGGGGGAUAACUACUGGAAACGGUAGCUAAUACCGCAUCCCAUCGGUUGUGGCCAGAUGGGAUUAGCUAGUGGGUGGGGUAAAGGCGCACCUAGGCGACGAUCCCUAGCUGGUCUGCGGGGAUGACCAGCCACACUGGAAAUGAGAAACGGUCCAGAUGCCUACGGGAGGCAGCAGUGGGGAAUAUUGCACAAUGGGCGCAAGCCUGAUGCAGCCAUGCCGCGUGUAUGAAGAAGGCCUUCGGGUUGUAAAGUACUUUCAGCUGGGAGGCGUUACCCGCAGAAGAAGCACCGGCUAACUCCGUGCCAGCAGCCGCGGUAAUAC
rnacentral:rRNA from 1 species